UAAAAAUGCUGGUGUUACAUUAAUUGAAGGUCGUGGAAAGAUUGUGGACCCGCACACAGUUGAUGUGGAUGGGAAGCUAUCUUCAGCAAGACACAUACUAGUUUCAGUAGGUGGUCGCCCCUUCGUCCCUGAAAUUCCUGGAAGUGAAUAUGCAAUAGAUUCAGAUGCUGCCCUUGAUUUGCCCUCAAAGCCUACAAA